rnacentral:rRNA from 1 species
GACGGAGGGGGCAAGCGUUGUCCGGACUUACUGGGCGUAAAGGGCCCGUAGGCGGCCUGAUGCGUCGGUGCUGAAAGCGCCCCGCUUAACGGGGUGAGGCGUGCCGAUACGAUCAGGCUCGAGGCAGGCAGAGGGUGGCGGAAUUCCGGGUGUAGUGGUGAAAUGCGUAGAGAUCCGGAGGAACGCCUGUGGCGCAAGCGGCCACCUGGGCCUGACCUGACGCUGAGGGGCGAAAGCGUGGGGAGCAAACCGG